AAAAUAUUCUUCUCCUUACAGAUGGCAUAAAUAUGAUUGUGAUGCUAAUCAUCAUUACAAUUGCGCUAGUAUUUCCGGAAUCCUUGUUUUUGACGACGGUGUUGUCUUACUAAUUAACUGGUGGACAAUAUCUGCUAAACACAGUUGUACUAAUACUCGGCAUUACAUGAAGUAUGAAAUUGAAGUCAUUAAAUAUGGCUGCGAAUCAUUUUGUUUAUUGGAGAGGUAUGUAUUAUUUUUAAAGCAGGUUCAAAUUACGGUAAAUCCGUAUAGUAGGUAAAAAAUGACACGUAAGCCAUUGUCGUGCCACCUGUCUUGAAAGAUCAAGAGCUGUAAUUGUUCUGAAACAUUGAUUACACAUUGCACUGCUAACGCGUUCGCUGAUAAACAUGUAACUGCUCAGUGAAGUCGUUCGAAUUUCGACCAGAGCUAUUAUGUUUUCGUUUGCAGUGUUUUCCCAUAUAACUGUGCAACGAUGUUAUGUAUGUGAUG